rnacentral:rRNA from 1 species
CACGUAGGAGGCGAGCGUUGUCCGGAAUCAUUGGGCGUAAAGAGCGCGCAGGCGGCUUGGCAAGUCGGGUGUGAAAUCCCGGGGCUCAACCCCGUGACUGCAUCCGAUACUGUCAGGCUAGAGGUAGGUAGGGGAGAUCGGAAUUCCUGGUGUAGCGGUGAAAUGCGCAGAUAUCAGGAGGAACACCGGUGGCGAAGGCGGUUCUCUGGGAAUGUUCUGACGCUGAGGAGCGAAAGUGUGGGGAGCGAACAGG